rnacentral:pre_miRNA from 1 species
GAUGGGUGUGAAUCUAGUGUUUCACAUGAUUUUCGAUAGCCUGUGACUAGAUCCACACUCAUUAA